AUUGAACGCUGGCGGCAGGCCUAACACAUGCAAGUCGAACGAGUGGCGGACGGGUGAGUAAUGUCUGGGAAACUGCCUGAUGGAGGGGGAUAACUACUGGAAACGGUAGCUAAUACCGCAUACCAUCAGAUGUGCCCAGAUGGGAUUGGCUAGUUGGUGGGGUAACGGCUCACCAGGGCGACGAUCCCUAGCUGGUCUGAGAGGAUGACCAGCCACACUGGAACGGAGACACGGUCCAGACUCCUACGGGAGGCAGCAGUGGGGAAGAGUGCACAAUGGGCGCAAGGCUGAGGCAGCGAGGCCGCGUGGAUGAAGAAGGCCUUCGGGUUGUAAAGUACUUUCAGCGGGGAGGCGUUACCCGCAGAAGAAGCACCGGCUAACUCCGUGCUAGCCGCCGCGGUAAUAC
rnacentral:rRNA from 1 species